CCUGAGUCUGCAGCUCUGCCGGGGCCCCAAGCGGGGCCUUCUCUCUCCUGCUGGGGUUUUCUUGUGUUUGUGGGCAGCCCUGAAGGCCCUCUCCACCCUUGAGCACAGAGAUGGGGCAGACGGAACCCUCUGGAAAGCAGGACUUCCUGAGUGACCUGGAACUUCUACUGCUCAACUUGAUCCUCAAAUAGAGGCCCAAACCUUUGGUCCUCAAGGGUCAGGUGGGCCCUUUCUUGUGGACCGGGUGAAGCCAGUUGGGGUGAGACAUGUGCAGUCUGCCUGAAGUCAGCCAGUCCCCUGCAGGGACCUGGCUCCUGCCUGGAUCAGCCCUGCUCCUCUGGGACUGCUGCCAGCUUCCUCUCUCCUUGUAUGGAUGGGCUUCUGCAAAAGGAUUUUGCUCAUGGCCAGCAGCAGCUCUGAGUGCACACCUCCCCAGGAUUUGCUGCUACACACCGCCCUCAGGAAGGAUUCAAGUAACCCAGGGAAGAGCUCUGAGUGGCCCCACCGAGCACGUAUCCACCUUGAGGUAUGCAG
ensembl:lncRNA